UUAUGGAUCAUGAAAACAGCGCUCCUUCGUUGUUAAAGUUGAUUGAGAACUAUGAUCCUAUAUUUUUGGAAAUACCAUAUGAUUUUGCAACCUUAUUGUGGGGAGAACAACUUCCAUAUGUCAAUGUCUUAAAAUUAGUGAUGAUGAUUUAUCGUGA